rnacentral:rRNA from 1 species
CAAUGAUGUUCUGGGCUGGUCCGUUAAAAGGCGUGCGCUUAUUCUACAUCACGGGUGGGGAGAGGGAUUGACAAUUUGUACCGGGGUUUACCCAAGUUACGUGAAAAUGAAGUGCCAUCCGGGGGCGUAAACCUCCCUGUGGCCAGGCAGGCACUGCGGUGUUAAUACCGGAGGGUGCAAGUCGUUACUCGGAAUCACUGGGUCGUAAAGCGUCGUCGCAGGCGGCCCCUUAAGUUGGAUGUGAAAUCCUAUGGCUCAACCAUAGAACUGCAUCCAAAACUGAUGGGCUAGAGUCUGGGAGGGGAAGAUGGAAUUAGUGGUGUAGGGGUAAAAUCCGUAGAGAUCACUAGGAAUACCAAAAGCGUAAGGUCGAUCUUCUGGUAACAGUACUGACGUCUGAGGUCGUCGAAAGUCGUGGGGUAGCAAACAGGUAUUAGUAUACCCUGUGUUAGUUCCACGUCCCGUAAACGUAUGUACAUGUUUAGUUCGUUUCGUGUGUAGGUCUUGUCCUUUCGUGUUGUAUGUCAGUCUAACGUCAUUAAACAUUUCCGUCCCUGGGGAGUACGCUCGCAAGAUUAACACUCAAAGGAAUAGACGGGGACCCGCACAAGUGGUGGAGCAUGUGGUUUAAUUCGUAGAUACGCGAAGAACCUUACCUGGCCUUGACAUUGAUAGUAUCUGCUAGAGAUAGCGGAAUGCCCUUCGGGGAGCUUGAAAACAGGUGCUGCACGGCUGUCGUCAGCUCGUGUCGUGAGAUGUUGGGUUAAGUCCCGCAACGAGCGCAACCCUCGUCACUAGUUACUAACGGUUCGGCCGAGGACUCUAGUGAGACUGCCUUCGCAAGGAGGAGGAAGGUGAGGACGACGUCAAGUCAUCAUGGCCCUUACGGCCAGGGCGACACACGUGCUACAAUGGGAUGUACAAUGAGACGCAAUACCGCGAGGUGGAGCAAAUCUAUAAAGCAUCUCUCAGUUCGGAUUGUAGUCUGCAACUCGACUACAUGAAGCUGGAAUCACUAGUAAUCGUAGAUCAGCCAUGCUACGGUGAAUACGUUCCCGGGUCUUGUACUCACCGCCCGUCACACCAUGGGAGUUGAUUUCACCCGAAGCGGGGAAGCUAAACUGGCUACCCUCCACGGUGGAAU